rnacentral:lncRNA from 1 species
GAAAAUUGAAAUUGAGUAUCCAUGUUAUCUUAACAUAAAAAAGUACUCAAUCAUAUUUUGCUCGAGGUGUAGGUCCAUCUUUGAGCAAAGCAGGUAAACAGAAGCAGUUAUCAUUUAUUAGUACUUAAUAAUCACUGUCAAUAAUGAAUAGAGAUAAAUAAUAAGAGUAUAGAGAGACUUGGUCCAGAUAAAUUACUGUGAACGAGGAGCCAUUCCACUAGCAUUCCCA